rnacentral:rRNA from 1 species
GACAGAGGUGCCGAGCGUUAGGCGGAAUCACUGGGCUUAAAGCGUGUGUAGGCGGGCCGUUAAGUGCCCCGUGAAAUCCCCCGGCUCAACCGGGGAACGGCGGGGCAUACUGGCGGCCUUGAGCCACUUAAGGGCAGACGGAACAAGCGGGUGGAGCGGUGAAAUGCGUAGAUAUCAGGAGGAACACCGGUGGCGAAGGCGGGUCUCUGGGCCAUAACUGACGCUGAGGAGCGAAAGCGUGGGGAGCGAACAGGA